GACGAACGCUGGCGGCGUGCUUAACACAUGCAAGUCGAACGGAAAGGGCCUGCUUGCAGGGUAUUCGAGUGGCGAACGGGUGAGUAACACGUGGGUGAUCUGCCCUGCACUUCGGGAUAAGCCUGGGAAACUGGGUCUAAUACCGGAUAGGAGCCAUUUUUAGUGUGAUGGUUGGAAAGUUUUUUCGGUGUAGGAUGAGCUCGCGGCCUAUCAGCUUGUUGGUGGGGUAAUGGCCUACCAAGGCGGCGACGGGUAGCCGGCCUGAGAGGGUGGACGGCCACAUUGGGACUGAGAUACGGCCCAGACUCCUACGGGAGGCAGCAGUGGGGAAUAUUGCACAAUGGGCGCAAGCCUGAUGCAGCGACGCCGCGUGGGGGAUGACGGCCUUCGGGUUGUAAACUCCUUUCGCUAGGGACGAAGCUUUUUGUGACGGUACCUAGAUAAGAAGCACCGGCUAACUACGUG
rnacentral:rRNA from 1 species